rnacentral:tRNA from 1 species
UUAAAUAGUUUAAGAAAAAUCUUGAUUUGUGGAAUCAAAGAUAUAUUUUUUAGUAUUUUAGAUAA